AUGAACAUCUUGGCCUGGAACUGUCGGGGCUUGGGGUUGGACUCGACAGUUGGCGAAUUACGGGACCUGAUACAGUCACACAACCCAGCGGUGGUAUUUCUCAGUGAAACAAAAAAAAAAUCAGCAAAAGCUAUGGAGAGACUGAGGUGGAGUUUGGGGUUUAGGAGUGGUGUCGGGGUGGACUGUAAGGGGAGAAGUGGAGGUCUUGCACUGUGGUGGAGAGAGCACAUCCAGGUUACUAUCAGACCAUGGUGUCAAUAUUUCCUCGAUGCUGAAUUGGUGUGUGAUGGUAAAACCUUUAGAAUUACUGGAUUCUAUGGUGAACCAUGGACCGAGCUUCGGAAAAAAUCUUGGGAUGCUAUUUGA
rnacentral:rRNA from 1 species